AAUAGAUUUGUCGUCUGCUAGAUUGUUAGGCAUGUCCGGGGAUUGCAAGAAAACAUUACAUUUUGUAGCUUAUUCAAGAGUCACAGCUCUAUUUUUACAGGUCUGCUUUAAUUGUAUUAUAUUUAAAGGAAAUAAUAACGCUAACUGAAAAAAUAGUAAAAUGUUUUUUAGAUGAAAAAUGCAUAUUGUCUAUUUGUCAUAGGUAAUCUUCAACUAUCUUCUACCUGAUCAUAAGCCGGAUGUUUUCAAUCCACCCCCAUCAAAAGAACCAGGAGCAGGGAAUGCAUUAGUUAACAUAACUCUAUCAGGUUUAAGAAGAUGGGAUGCUAUAUAUUUCCUUCACAUUUCAAAAUAUGGAUAUACAUAUGAAAAUACUAUAGCAUUCUUCCCUCUCUUUCCAAUGAUUGUUAGAACCUUAUCGAAUACCAUUUUCCUUCCUCUUCAAAAUAUCAUUUCAGAAGAAUUUACACACCUCAUCUCUGCAGUAAUAUUCAACCAAAUCUGCUUUAUUUUCGGAAAGUUUCAAAAGAAAUGCUCUAUAGAAUGUCUUUUAUAAAAUAUUACAUUAUUUCCCUUAUUAAGGAAUUCAUUACGCUUUUCUUUCGAAACUUUUUACAGCCGCAAAACAACUUUAUCAUCUUACAGUUACAAUAUUGAAAAGUGAAAAACUAGCUAAAUCGGCAGUAUUUUUCUUCUAUUUAAACCCGGCUACAAUAUUUUUUGUUGCACCUUAUAGUGAAAGUCUCUAUUCGUUAUUAACAUUUACUGGAUUAAGAUAUUUGGAAGGUGGAUUUCAAUUUAAAUCAGCUAUAUUUUUUGCUCUUUCAUCAAUGACCAGGUUCCAAAUGAAUACUAUAUUUUCAGAUUACUUAUCUUUUACGUUGUAUUGCAGAUCAAACGGAAUUAUAAAUUGUGGAUUUAUAGUUUACUACAACUUUAGAAUUGUAAUUAAAUCAAAUUUAGAUUACCAGUUUUUUGUUCGUGCUUUAAAGAUGAUUGUUUUAUGCUUGGUAUCAGUCGCUCCAUUCUUUAUUUUCCAGUAUUAUUCCUACUAUAUGUUUUGCCAGACUUCCGUCAAAAAUAUUCCUGAUAGAUUGAUUGACUAUGCUAAAGUCCGUCAAUAUAAAUUGCCUGGAGAAUCAAAAUUCUGCUCAAAGUUUCAAUUGCCAUAUUCUUACGUUCAAAAGAAUCACUGGAAUAAUGCUGGUUUCCUCAAUUAUUAUGAAUUUAAGCAAAUACCAAAUUUUCUUUUGGCAAGUCCAAUUCUUCUGCUGGUUUUUUCCAGUUCAUUUACUUACUUUAAAUCAUUAAAUAGAAGAUCAUGGAAGCAAAUUAUUGAAUCUCCUCUCUUUGUUUAUUCUGUACACUGCUUAGUUUUAACUUGUUUUGCAGUGUUAUUUAUGCAUGUACAAGUAACAACAAGAUUCCUCUGCUCAUCAACUCCGAUAAUUUAUUGGUUUGUCUCUUUAGUUAAAGAAGAUUCCACAGCAUACAAGCUACUUAAUUAUUAUUUUCGGUUCUAUUUCUUUAUUGGUAUUGCUGCUUUCUCAAAUUUUCUCCCAUGGACUUGAAGGCGUUUUCCAAGAACAUAAACAAAAAGUUGUCUAUAAAUAGGUAUAUUUUUAACAAUAAAAUUCACUAAGUGAUCUAUCCAAAGGAAACUAAAUUUUUUAUAUUUUCAAGUGAAAAUGAUAUUAAUAAUGUUCUCUCAAAUGGAAACUACAACAAUUAAAUUGAAAUGUACUUGUUAAAAAGUUCUUAGUUAUUAUUUACUAUACCAUUAAUAUUCUACUUCAAAGAUAGAACACAUAUCAAUCAGUUUAUUCAUUCAUCUCCUCUAAAAUAUUACUUAAUUUACUAGUAGAAGCUGUAUUUUAUAUAAAUUCAAUAUACAUAAUUUAAAAUGAUGAACUAAAAUUAGCAUUUACAUUACGUAUAUAAAUAAUCGUCUAUGCUCAGUUUAGCGAACUCAUUCAUAAAUUAAUAUUAGCUAAUACGCUCUUAUUGUUUCUGAAGCUUUAUCAGAAAAAUAAAAUAAGGUUUACAGUAAGGAAAGUUUUCCUGUUUUCUUCAUCACCUUGGUGACGUAAAAAGGACUUUAAAUUUAUGAUUAUAUGUCGUUUUCUAACAUUACCCUGAUCAAUAAACUUGACAUGAUAACAGUUUUUCAAUUUGCUAUGACUUAGUCGAUGGCUAAAUGGUCUUUUUCAAUUUAUAUUAAUAAUAUAUUGCUCUAAUUGUAUUGUUUUCAGUACAACUAUUGACAAUUAGUCAUAAGAAUCUUUUGCAUUAAAGAAUAGUUUUAGAUUCCAAAUACUCAUUCUCGUUCUGAACAUGCCAGUGCACAAUAUUCAUAUGUAUACUCUGGCCUUUGUAGCAUACCUUUCCUUCGUCAGAGUAUCCCACUCAGAGAAUCCGUUAAACUCUCCAGAAGUUAAAUUGAUUAACAAGCUUUUAUUAAACUAUGAGAAAAGAGCUAGACCGAUUAUUAAUGUUUCUGCUGCAAUUCCAGUAACGUACAAUAUUGAUAUUGUAGGAAUACAAGAAGUUGAUCCAAAGAAUCAACGAAUGAGCAUCUUUGCAUGGCAACCUAUGCAAUGGAAAGACGAAUUUCUGGCUUGGAAUAGUGAAGAACAUGGUGGUAUAAAAAGAAUCAUUCUUCCGACAGCUAGUAUCUGGAUUCCAGAUUUUGUUCUUCAAAACACAGCCGAUAAGUUUUAUAAUGAAGAAUCUCUAAAAUACUUCAAUGCAGAGGUUUCGCAUACAGGCAACGUAAUAUUUACUCCAGGUGGUAAACUCUCAACCUCAUGCCCAUUAAACAUGAAAUAUUUUCCUUUUGACUAUCAAGCUUGUAAAUUGUUGGUGUCUGUGUGGGCGCCAAGCUGCGCAGAAGUUAAAAUGGAAGCACUAUCCAAAAAAGUAGCCACAGACCGAUAUGAAGAAAGUGCAGAAUGGACUCUUGUUUCAACAUCGAUUAAAAAUGUCCAAAUUCUAUAUCUGGGAGUAAAGUACUGUUCUAUUGAAAUUAACUUGAAUUUACAACGGAAACCAUUAUAUUUCGUUCUAAUUUUUGUUAUACCUUGUAUUUUAUUGUCAUUUGUUUCAAUAGUAAGUUUUACUAUACCAGCAGAAGGGGGCGAAAGAAUAUCAAUGUCCAUGACCGUGUUAUUGAGUUUUUCUUUCUUUCUAAUAGUUCUUAAUGAUUUAUUACCGAAAAAUUCUGAUGAGGCGCCAAUAUUAGCUAUCUAUAUAGUUGUGGUAAUGGCUUUUAUGGGCAUGUCACUUAUAUGUACCAUUUUAGUAGUUAGACUCCACUAUUCUUCAAAGCCUGUUUCGCCUUUAAUUAAAAGAGUCAUCACUGGCUAUCUGGCUUUUUGUGUAAAAGUAAAAAUAUCACCUGAAAAAGCUACGGGUAUUGACUGGAAGGAUGUUGGGAAAGUACUUGACAGAAUUUUCAUUAUUAUAUUUUCAAUAUGUGUACUAAUCGUCACAAUUGUUGUCUUCUUUUUGAUAUUAACACACAGAAAGUAAAGUGAAGUGAGAUGUACAUUCUAUGAAGUGAUUUGUUUUAAUAAAUAUUGAGUAAUCUGGACUGCGAAAC
rnacentral:misc_RNA from 1 species